rnacentral:rRNA from 1 species
UACGACUACAUAUCAGGCAUAUCAAUAAGCGGAGGAAAAGAAACUAACAAGGAUUCCCUAGUAACGGCGAGUGAAGCGGGAAGAGCUCAAAUUUGAAAUCUUAAAGGGUUUCCCUUUACGAAUUGUAGUUUAAAGAAGUGUUUUCUGUUGGAGUUUCGGUAAAAGUUCUUUGGAAUAGGACAUCAUAGAGGGUGAGAAUCCCGUAUUUGACCGUUACUUUCCAGCUGUGUGAUACACUUUCAAAGAGUCGGAUUGUUUGGGAAUGCAGUCCAAGAUGGGUGGUAAAUUUCAUCUAAAGCUAAAUAUUGGCGAGAGACCGAUAGCGAACAAGUACCGUGAGGGAAAGAUGAAAAGAACUUUGAAAAGAGAGUUAAACAGUACGUGAAAUUGUCAAAAGGGAAGCGUUUGACACCAGUGUUGUUUUUCCGAAAAUCAAUUACGAAUGGCUUGAUUUUGUGUUGUAUUGACCUUAUCAGCUUUCUUCACUUUUUUCGAGUCUUUCUUAAUGCACUUUUCGGUUAACAAGUCAACAUCAAUUUCUUUUGUUGUAAAAGAGUAUUCGGAAGGUGGCUUUCUUUUCGGAGAAAGUGUUUAUAGCCCUAUACUUCUACAAUCGGAGAGAUUGAGGUCUGCAGCGUAGAUCCUUCGGGGUUAGAUACACUUGUGCUAAGUUGUAGCUUUUCAUAGACAACUUGUUGACUAUGUUUAGUCAUGCGGCUUACUCGCUUGUGCUAUUUUACCUACGCUUAGGAUGUUGAGUAGCGACAUACGCAC